rnacentral:tRNA from 2 species
GGGCCCGUGGUCUAGGGGAAUGACGUCGCCUUGACGAGGCGGAGGUCAUGCGUUCGAAUCGCAUCGGGCCCA